rnacentral:rRNA from 1 species
UUGAACGCUGGCGGCAUGCUUUACACAUGCAAGUCGAACGGCAGCGGGGGCUUCGGCCUGCCGGCGAGUGGCGAACGGGUGAGUAAUGCAUCGGAACGUACCCAGUCGUGGGGGAUAACUACGCGAAAGCGUGGCUAAUACCGCAUACGCCCUGAGGGGGAAAGCGGGGGACCUUCGGGCCUCGCGCGAUUGGAGCGGCUGAUGUCAGAUUAGCUAGUUGGUGGGGUAAAGGCCCACCAAGGCAACGAUCUGUAGCUGGUCUGAGAGGACGACCAGCCACACUGGGACUGAGACACGGCCCAGACUCCUACGGGAGGCAGCAGUGGGGAAUUUUGGACAAUGGGCGCAAGCCUGAUCCAGCAAUGCCGCGUGCAGGAAGAAGGCCUUCGGGUUGUAAACUGCUUUUGUACGGAACGAAAAGGUCUGGGUUAAUACCCUGGGCCCAUGACGGUACCGUAAGAAUAAGCACCGGCUAACUACGU